rnacentral:rRNA from 1 species
UACGUAGGGGGCAAGCGUUGUCCGGAUUCAUUGGGCGUAAAGAGCGUGUAGGCGGCCAGGUAGGUCGGUUGUGAAAACUGGAGGCUCAACCUUCAGAGGUCGACCGAAACCAUCUGGCUAGAGUCCGGGAGAGGAGAGUGGAAUUCCGGGUGUAGCGGUGGAAUGCGUAGAGAUCCGGAAGAACACCAGUGGCGAAGGCGGCCCGCUGGGCAGUGGCUGACGGCUGAGGCGCGACAGCGUGGGGAGCAAACAGGA